UACGAAGGGUGCAAGCGUUACUCGGAAUUACUGGGCGUAAAGAGUGCGCAGGCGGUUUUGUAAGACCGAGGUGAAAUCCCCGGGCUCAACCUGGGAACUGCCUUUGUGACUGCAAGGCUUGAGUGCGGCAGAGGGGGAUGGAAUUCCGCGUGUAGCAGUGAAAUGCGUAGAUAUGCGGAGGAACACCGAUGGCGAAGGCAAUCCCCUGGGCCUGCACUGACGCUCAUGCACGAAAGCGUGGGGAGCAAACAGG
rnacentral:rRNA from 1 species